CAUAACCUGGUUGAUCCUGCCAGUAGUCAUAUGCUUGUCUCAAAGACUAAGCCAUGCAUGUCUAAGUAUAAAUGUUAUACAGUGAAACUGCGAAUGGCUCAUUAAAACAGUUAUAGUUUAUUUGAUAAUCGAAUUUACAUGGAUAACCGUGGUAAUUCUAGAGCUAAUACAUGCUGUUUAGCCUGACUUCUAGGA
rnacentral:rRNA from 1 species